rnacentral:rRNA from 1 species
AUUGAACGCUGGCGGCAGGCCUAACACAUGCAAGUCGAGCGGAUGAGUGGAGCUUGCUCCAUGAUUCAGCGGCGGACGGGUGAGUAAUGCCUAGGAAUCUGCCUGGUAGUGGGGGACAACGUUUCGAAAGGAACGCUAAUACCGCAUACGUCCUACGGGAGAAAGUGGGGGAUCUUCGGACCUCACGCUAUCAGAUGAGCCUAGGUCGGAUUAGCUAGUUGGUGAGGUAAAGGCUCACCAAGGCGACGAUCCGUAACUGGUCUGAGAGGAUGAUCAGUCACACUGGAACUGAGACACGGUCCAGACUCCUACGGGAGGCAGCAGUGGGGAAUAUUGGACAAUGGGCGAAAGCCUGAUCCAGCCAUGCCGCGUGUGUGAAGAAGGUCUUCGGAUUGUAAAGCACUUUAAGUUGGGAGGAAGGGCAGUAUGUUAAUACCUUGCUGUUUUGACGUUACCAACAGAAUAAGCACCGGCUAACUUCGUGCCAGCCGCCGCUGUAAGAC